UCCGAUAUGGUCUAGUGGCUAGGAUUUCUCGCUCUCAAACCGUUUCUCCCCAAAGAAACAACUAGGUCCGAGGAGGCCGGGGUUCAAUUCCCCGUGUCGGAA
rfam:Aureobasidium pullulans var. pullulans EXF-150 unplaced genomic scaffold scaffold_7, whole genome shotgun sequence.